rnacentral:tRNA from 1547 species
GGAAGGUUGUCCGAGCUGGCCGAAGGAGCACGCCUGGAAAGUGUGUAGGCGUCACAAGCGUCUCAAGGGUUCGAAUCCCUUACCUUCCG